rnacentral:tRNA from 1 species
GCCUUUGUGGUGUAGUGGUCAGCACGCUUGACGCGUAACCGAGAGGUCCGUGGUUCGAUUCCCGUCGAAGGUG